rnacentral:lncRNA from 1 species
GUUUCAGGGGAGACUUACUGCAGUGUCAUCUCAGAGUUUCAGGAGAGACUUACUGCUGUGUCAUCUCAGAGUUUCAGGGGAGACUUACUGCUGUGUCAUCUCAGAGUUUCAGGGGAGACUUACUGCUGUGUCAUCUCAGAGUUUCAGGGGAGACUUACUGCUGUGUCAUCUCAGAGUUUCAGGGGAGACUUACUGCUGUGUCAUCUCAGAGUUUCAGGGGAGACUUACUGCUGUGUCAUCUCAGAGUUUCAGGAGAGACUUACUGCUGUGUCAUCUCAGAGUUUCAGGGGGGACUUACUGCUGUGUCAUCUCAGAGUUUCAGGGGGGACUUACUGCUGUGUCAUCUCAGAGUUUCAGGGGGGACUUACUGCUGUGUCAUCUCAGAGCUUUAACUGUUAAUGUAUGUGGGCGUCUGCAUUGUCUUAGUCUAUUACAAAGUCCUAAAAAUAACCAACAUGUCUCUCUCUCUCAUCCGCUCUAUCUGUCUCUUCUCUCUCUGUAUCUCUCUUCCCUCCCUCUCUCCCUCUCUGUUUCUCCUCUCUUUCUGUCUCUCUUUUUCUCCCUCUUAGUCAUUGUCCGCUGACCCUGGCGUGGGGGGGCGUGGUCUGGACGCCACAGGAGGCGGGGUCAGGCGUCUCCGCAGAGAUCUCCGUGAUUCACUGCCGUACGAGGCCGGGAUGAUGUCCUAUCCUGGCGAGUCGGCUGACGUCCUGACCCGGCGGGGGGGCAACGAGCUGCUCUAUCAACCCGAGGAGUGGAGGGGGCAGGGCUUAAGCCAUGCUGUGCAGCAAUUGGUGGAGAACGACGAGAGGCACGAACAGGAAACGGCGUACCUGGCCGGGUUGCUCCGCCUCCUCAGUGAAGCUGAAGGAACUGCCGGAGAGGAUGGAGGUGUGGAGGACCAGGGGCCAGCGGACUUCCAAGGGCCCUAUACCCGUGACUAUGAUGAGACAGAGCAGGGCAUGAGAAUGGGAAAGCCCCAGGCUGCAGCUCCAUGGCAAGGCCUACUGGACCCACAGCUCACCCAGGCCCUGCUCAACAGAUACAGGCAGGAGAGGCUGCAGCAGCAGGCUGGGUUACCAGGUCUACCAGCCACCAUCAACAGGCUUACAGAUGACAGGCUGGAAACAGGCAGCCAGGACCGAGACCAGGAGGCUCUGAGAUACCUCGUAACCAAGAUCCUGUCCAGCAUUGGUCCCAACAACCCUCAGGGUUCGUCAGGCCGCCGGGCGAGGAGGGACCUGGUGUCUGUGUCUGGUGGUGGGGGUGGAGGGGUCAGAGCAGCCUCAGAACCAGUCUUCCACAGGUCCCGUCGCUCCCUGGUCUCCCCUCCUACUCCCUCCCCCAGCCGGGAGCCCUCUCCGGGGCUUCUGAGGGUUAAGAGGCUGGGGUACAUGGAAGAGGGCCCUGGAUGGCUUGGGGGAGAGAGGGAGGGCCGCAAGACCCAAAACCAUGCUGUGGGGUUACAGAGGAUGAAGAGGAUCGACACCGAACUACAGGCCCAGCCUGGUGGGAGGACCAGCCGCAGGAGAAGAGCCCUGAACUACGACCCCCAAGCCCUAACCCACGACCCUGAGCUGCUGGUCCAACACAUCUUACACUACCUGCCACAGUAG